rnacentral:rRNA from 1 species
UACGAAGGGUGCAACGUUGCUCGGAAUUAUUGGGCGUAAAGCGCACGUAGGCGGCUUUGCAAGUCGGAUGUGAAAUCCCUCGGCUUAACCAAGGAAGUGCAUCCGAAACUGCAGAGCUUGAGUACUUAAGAGGAUCGCGGAAUUCCCGGUGUAGAGGUGAAAUUCGUAGAUAUCGGGAGGAACACCAGUGGCGAAGGCGGCGAUCUGGGAAGAUACUGACGCUGAGGUGCGAAAGCGUGGGGAGCA